rnacentral:rRNA from 1 species
CUCAUCCAUUGGGACUUUUCCCCCGGCCUUGCAGUCGAGGCUCAGGUGCGUCGUUGGUUUGUAUCUUCGGUUCAUUUCUCUCCCUCUUCUUCGACCAAGGAGUUCUUUCUGGUGGUUUCUUUCUCUUCAGCAUCUUUUCCUCUCUCGGAUCAAUCUGUGUGGUUAGCACUACAAUGCUAUAUUGGCGGUUUGAGCUCUGGAUUCAGAGUUUUCAAACUCAGUGACUGA